AUUGAACGCUGGCGGCAUGCCUUACACAUGCAAGUCGAACGGCAGCACGGGAGCAAUCCUGGUGGCGAGCGGCGAACGGGUGAGUAAUGUAUCGGAACGUGCCUAGUCGUGGGGGAUAACGCAGCGAAAGCUGUGCUAAUACCGCAUACGAUCUGUGGAUGAAAGCGGGGGAUCGCAAGACCUCGCGCGAUUGGAGCGGCCGAUAUCAGAUUAGCUAGUUGGUGGGGUAAAGGCUCACCAAGGCGACGAUCUGUAGCUGGUCUGAGAGGACGACCAGCCACACUGGAACUGAGACACGGUCCAGACUCCUACGGGAGGCAGCAGUGGGGAAUUUUGGACAAUGGGCGCAAGCCUGAUCCAGCAAUGCCGCGUGCAGGAUGAAGGCCUUCGGGUUGUAAACUGCUUUUGUACGGAGCGAAAAGGCUCUCUCUAAUACAGGGGGCUCAUGACGGUACCGUAAGAAUAAGCACCGGCUAACUACGUGCCAGCAGCCGCGGUAA
rnacentral:rRNA from 1 species